GUCCUGUGGAGGUCCUACAGGACCUCAUAUUAGAAGACAUCGAAGACAAUGAGCUACCCCGUGACGUGGAGAAGCCUGCGGGCCAGUAUCACCACCGUCCUGUGGAGGUUCUACAGGACCUCAUAUUAGAAGACAUCGAAGACAAUGAGCUACCCCAUGACGUGG